GAGUUUGAUCGUGGCUCAGAUUGAACGCUGGCGGCAGGCCUAACACAUGCAAGUCGAGCGGAUGACGGGAGCUUGCUCCUUGAUUCAGCGGCGGACGGGUGAGUAAUGCCUAGGAAUCUGCCUGGUAGUGGGGGACAACGUUUCGAAAGGAACGCUAAUACCGCAUACGUCCUACGGGAGAAAGCAGGGGACCUUCGGGCCUUGCGCUAUCAGAUGAGCCUAGGUCGGAUUAGCUAGUUGGUGGGGUAAUGGCUCACCAAGGCGACGAUCCGUAACUGGUCUGAGAGGAUGAUCAGUCACACUGGGACUGAGACACGGUCCAGACUCCUACGGGAGGCAGCAGUGGGGAAUAUUGGACAAUGGGCGAAAGCCUGAUCCAGCCAUGCCGCGUGUGUGAAGAAGGUCUUCGGAUUGUAAAGCACUUUAAGUUGGGAGGAAGGGCAGUAAGUUAAUACCUUGCUGUUUUGACGUUACCGACAGAAUAAGCACCGGCUAACUCUGUGCCAGCAGCCG
rnacentral:rRNA from 1 species